rnacentral:rRNA from 1 species
AAUAGAUACCCUGGUAGUCCACGCCGUAAACGAUGAGUGCUAAGUGUUAGGGGGUUUCCGCCCCUUAGUGCUGCAGCUAACGCAUUAAGCACUCCGCCUGGGGAGUACGGUCGGCAAGACUGAAACUCAAAGGAAUUGACGGGGGCCCGCACAAGCGGUGGAGCAUGUGGUUUAAUUCGAAGCAACGCGAAGAACCUUACCAGGUCUUGACAUCCCACUGACCGCUAUGGAGACAUAGCUUUCCUUUCGGGGACAGUGGUGACAGGUGGUGCAUGGUUGUCGUCAGCUCGUGUCGUGAGAUGUUGGGUUAAGUCCCGCAACGAGCGCAACCCUUGUUCUUAGUUGCCAUCAUUUAGUUGGGCACUCUAAGGAGACUGCCGGUGACAAACCGGAGGAAGGUGGGGAUGACGUCAAAUCAUCAUGCCCCUUAUGACCUGGGCUACACACGUGCUACAAUGGACGGUACAAAUGGUUGCCAACCCGGCGAGGGGGGAGCUAAUCCGAUAAAACCGUUCUCAGUUCGGAUUGUAGGCUGCAACUCGCCUA